ensembl:lncRNA
CGCAGCGCUGCGAGGCGAAGGGACCCGCAGUGAGGGCUGUGAGCUCAGCAGGACGGGCACCACGGCUGCCUGGGGGUGGUGAACAGCUGGGAGCUGCAAGGACGAUGUGCUGGGCCUCGCAGGGAGACGCGGUCCUUUCUGAAGCUGCGACAGGAGAGGAUUAAUGCUUUCCAUUACACGGAUCUAUGGGAUACACCUCAUUAUCUGACUUGGAAUGUAUCUGGGUUUUGGCAGCCUUAAUACCUUAAUUGUCUUAGUUCCUACAAGGAGAUUGCCAGGUGGCUUGUCGUCAUGAAAAUGAAAAACACGUAGUUUCUUAUUCAUAGGCAAUGUAUCGGCCCAGGAGCUAACCUGGCAGGGCGUUAAAACGCCCACUGGAAAGGAGUGGCCGGUGGGUGCUCAGAGCUCUGCAGUGCCCUGCAGCCCCUGCUGACUGCUCCCUGCGCCGCUGUGGCUCUCAUCAGCCAGAUCCCUUCAGCACAAAUGCUGCCCACUCUUGCAGCUUCCAGUGGGAGCGUCUGAGCUGAGCUGAAUUCAGCAGUUAAUACUGAACAAGUGACUGAGUGGUUCUCGCAGCUUGUGCCUUGCAGCGAGCGCUGCUGGGCCUGGAGCCCUGAAGAAGCAGAAGGGGAACAAGUGAGGCAAACGAUGCACAAAAAGCAGGACCUGAAGGCUGACGUGGCUCCUGCAGUGACGGGCACAGCUGAUUUAUGUGUGCUUCUCCAUGAAACACGGGCUCGUGGGUUAGCCUAAGUUCAAAAUCACUUAGAAGUAGGAAAGUAGGAAUAGUUUAAGAAAUGCAG